AGUUGUUGGUGAUAAAAAACAAGAUAGGAUAAAAUUUGACGUGCUGUUAACUUCUUAUGAAAUGAUUAACUUGGACACAGCAUCAUUGAAACCAAUAAAGUGGGAGAGCAUGAUUGUUGAUGAAGGUCAUCGUCUCAAAAAUAAGGAUUCAAAAUUAUUUCUUUCACUGAAGCGGUAUUCUAGUAAUCAUCGUGUGCUUUUGACUGGAACUCCUCUUCAGAACAA
rnacentral:misc_RNA from 1 species